GCUUAGUUCUAAAUAAGAUUGAUCUAACAAUAAUAUCCGCCAGGGAACUACAAGCGAAAAGCUUAAAACCCAAAGGACUUGGCGGUGCUCCACAUCGACUUAGAGGAGCCUGUCCUAUAAUCGAUACUCCACGAUAAACCUUACCGCCCUUGGCCCAAUGAGCCUAUAUACCGCCGUCGCAAACUUACUCCAUGAGGAUAUAACAGUAGGUACAAAAGUUAGACAACUAAUACGUCAGGUCAAGGUGUAGCUUAUAGGGCGGUAGUGAUGGGCUACAUUUUUUAAGAUAAAACACACGACAAGAGGCCAUGAAAUAGGCCACCGAAGGUGGAUUUAAUAGUAAGCCUAGCAAGAAAGCUAACCUUAAACUCGCACUGGAGCGCG
rnacentral:rRNA from 1 species